ACACAUUCCAGCCAAUCAGCAGCAGACCCUCCCUCCCAGACUCUCCCACCUCCUGGACAGCUCACUAAGAAUGCAGCUUCACAAUGAAUGUAAAAUGGAUGCUGUCCAGGAGGUGGGAGGGUCUGGGAGGGAGGGUCUGCUGCUGAUUGGCUGGAAUGUGUCU